GCCCGGUUAGCUCAAUCGGUAGAGCGUGAGACUCUUAAUCUCAAGGUUGCGGGUGAGUAGCACAUUCAUGAUUAAAAAAAUGAUGUGUAUCAAAAUUACUAAUUCCCGCUAGGUUCGACCCCCGCAUCGGGCU